UACGUAGGGGGCAAGCGUUGUCCGGAAUUAUUGGGCGUAAAGAGCGUGUAGGCGGUCCGGUAAGUCGGCUGUGAAAGUCCAGGGCUCAACCCUGGGAUGCCGGUCGAUACUGCCGGACUAGAGUUCGGAAGAGGCGAGUGGAAUUCCCGGUGUAGCGGUGGAAUGCGCAGAUAUCGGGAGGAACACCUAUGGCGAAGGCAGCUCGCUGGGCCACUACUGACGCUGAGAAGCGAAAGCGUGGGGAGCGAACAGG
rnacentral:rRNA from 1 species